GCUGUUUGUUCUGUAGCUUGGGACCUCCCCUAGCCUAGGAUCAGACACAGAGUCUGAGCUCCAGGGCCUGCAACUCCAGUUUCCACUUGCACCAUGAGGUUGUUGACAAGGAUGACUGUUGUCUUAACUUUGGGUAUUAUGGGUGAUGCCCAGACCACACAGCCAGAUUCAAUGGCAAGCACAGAAGGAGAAGCCGUGAACUUGCCUUGUAAUCACCCCACAAUCAGUGGAAGAGAUUACAUAUACUGGUAUCGACAGAUUCUCCACCAGGGCCCGGAGUAUGUGAUUCAUGGUUUUAAAACCAAUAUGACUAAUGAAAUGGCCUCGUUAACCAUCCCUGCUGACAGAAAGUCCAGUACCUUGGUCCUGCCCCGUGUUACUCUGAGAAGCACUGCUGUGUACUACUGCAUCCUGAGAGACACACAGUGACCCAG